GCGGCACGGAUUAGGCAUGCAAGUCGAGCGAGAAGGGUUUUGAAGCUUGCUUUAGAACCCGGAAAGCGGCGCAAGGGAGAGUAACGAGUAGUUAUCUACCCCAAGGCCCGGAAUAGCUGCGGGAAACUGCAGGUAAUGCCGGAUAAUAUCCCCGGAUCAAAGGUGUGAUUCCGCCUUGGGAGGAGACUGCUUUGUACUAGCUAGUUGGUAGGGUAAUGGCCUACCAAGGCUACGAUGCAUAGCGGGCGUGAGAGCGUGGCCCGUCUAACUGGGACUGAAACACUGCCAAGACACCUACGGGUGGCUGCAGUCGAGAAUCUUCGGCAAUGGGCGAAAGCCUGACCGAGCGAUGCCGCGUGCGGGAUGAAGGCCCUCGGGUUGUAAACCGCUGUCGUAGAGGAGAAAGGUCUGAUGAAGAAUCAGAUUUGAUCUAUUCUAGGAGGAAGUCGGGGCUAAGUUCGUGCCAGCCGCCGCGGUAA
rnacentral:rRNA from 1 species